rnacentral:rRNA from 1 species
CCUACGGGUGGCUGCAGUGGGGAAUAUUGGACAAUGGGGGGAACCCUGAUCCAGCCAUGCCGCGUGUGUGAAGAAGGCCCUCGGGUUGUAAAGCACUUUCAGUGAGGAAGAACGCCUGGUGGUUAAUACCCAUCAGGAAAGACAUCACUCACAGAAGAAGCACCGGCUAACUCCGUGCCAGCAGCCGCGGUAAUACGGAGGGUGCGAGCGUUAAUCGGAAUUACUGGGCGUAAAGCGCGCGUAGGUGGCUUGAUAAGCCGGUUGUGAAAGCCCCGGGCUCAACCUGGGAACGGCAUCCGGAACUGUCAAGCUAGAGUGCAGGAGAGGAAGGUAGAAUUCCCGGUGUAGCGGUGAAAUGCGUAGAGAUCGGGAGGAAUACCAGUGGCGAAGGCGGCCUUCUGGACUGAAACUGACACUGAGGUGCGAAAGCGUGGGUAGCGAACAGGAUUAGAUACCCCAGUAGUC